UAGGGAAUCUUCGGCAAUGGACGAAAGUCUGACCGAGCAACGCCGCGUGAGUGAAGAAGGUUUUCGGAUCGUAAAACUCUGUUGUUAGAGAAGAACAAGGACGUUAGUAACUGAACGUCCCCUGACGGUAUCUAACCAGAAAGCCACGGCUAACUACGUGCCAGCAGCCGCGGUAAUACGUAGGUGGCAAGCGUUGUCCGGAUUUAUUGGGCGUAAAGCGAGCGCAGGCGGUUUCUUAAGUCUGAUGUGAAAGCCCCCGGCUCAACCGGGGAGGGUCAUUGGAAGCUGGGGGACUUGAGUGAGGAAGAGGAGAAUGGAAUUCCAUGUGAAGCGGUGAAAUGCGUAGUUGUAUGGAGGAACACCAGUGGGGAAGGCGGCUCUCUGGUCUGUAACUGACGCUGAGGCUCGAAAGCGUGGGGAGCAAACAGG
rnacentral:rRNA from 1 species